rnacentral:tRNA from 3 species
GGGCCGGUAGUCUAGCCUGGAAGGAUGCCCGCUCGGCGCGCGGGAGAUCCCGGGUUCAAGUCCCGGCCGGUCCACCA